UACAGUGCAAGCUGUGUGGAAUCAAAGACCCGUAUUGAUGAGGUGAUGUUCCAUGUUUUUCCAUUAAUUCAGCCACCCUGAUCACACACUACAAGCUAAAACACUGCCAUCAACUGUCCUUAUAGCUUUUAAAUGCUUUGAAUCUUUUCUGUUUGCAAGUAAUAAAUUCUCACCUGUGCACUUACAAAUCCCCAUAUAAUCAUUAUAUAUUUAUAUUUACAUAUAAUGAUAUUAUUAUAUAAUUAUUUUCAAAGCAAAACCCCUCAAUUUGCUUGGGCCUUGGGUUAUUUAUCUAUAUUUGUGUAAUUGAUAAAGUUAUGUUUAAUUCCUUGUAAAGUAGGAAUAAAAAUGUUUAUAAAAAUGUUCUCUAUUUUGAAAGGCCAGUGUCAGUGAAGAUGGUGUGGUCACUGGAAUCCUGGUGUUUGUGGCAAAUGUGAAGGAUGUUCUCCCAGGAUUUUACUACAGUGUUGUCCUGAUGACUGAGGUAUUUAUUUUUUUACUUUCUUGCCUCUUUGGAACAUGUCCAUUUAUGCAUACUGUGUAGAGGUGGUUCGCAGCUUCAUGGACAUUUAAGGUUUUCUGCCGAUGAAGA